rnacentral:hammerhead_ribozyme from 1 species
ACUGACGAGUCCUAAAUAGGACGAAAUGCGCAUCCUGGAU